rnacentral:rRNA from 1 species
UACGUAGGGUGCGAGCGUUUAAUCGGAAUUACUGGGCGUAAAGGGUGCGCAGGUGGUUAUAUAAGACAGAUGUGAAAUCCCCGGGCUCAACCUGGGAACUGCGUUUGUGACUGUAUGACUAGAGUACGGUAGAGAGGGGUGGAAUUCCUGGUGUAGCAGUGAAAUGCGUAGAUAUCAGGAGGAACAUCGAUGGCGAAGGCAGCCCCUUGGAC